AGCUGGGACUACAGGCGCCCGCCACCACGCCCGGCUAAUGUUUUGUAUUUUUUAGUAGAGACGGGGUUUCACCGUUUUCGCCAGCAUCGUCUUGAUCCCCGACCUCGUGAUCCGCCCACCUCGGCCUCCCAAAGUGCUGGAGUUACAGGCGUGAGCCAACGAGCGCGGCCAGAUGAUUACCUAGGAACAGUACGAUUUGGGGUUAUCACAAAUAAACAUCUUGCGAAACUGGUAUCCUUAGUACACUCUGGAAGUGUGUAUUUACAUAGACAUUUCAACACAUCACUUGUCUUCCCCAGGGAGGUCCUGAACUACACAGCUGAGAACAUCUGUAAGUGGGCCUUAGAAAACCAGGAGACGCUCUUUCGGUGGCUGCGGCCACACGGAGGCAAGAGUCUCCUGCUGAAUAACGAGCUGAAGAAAGGACCAGCGCUGUUUCUGUUCAUACCUUUUAAUCCCCUGGCCGAAAGUCAUCCUUUA
rnacentral:lncRNA from 1 species